rnacentral:lncRNA from 7 species
CAAGAGAGAGUCAGCUGUUUUGUCAGCAUUCUUGCAGCAGCCUGAAUUGUACUUAAGUGGGCAAAUUAAGGGAAUAAGGGGCUCAUUUAGUGAUGCUGUAUGGAGAAUUCUGUCUCCUGCAGACCUGGCCAAUGUGAUCAGAAGAACUCACAGGUGAUAUUGGACCAAAAGUAUGUUCAGGUGUGGGCCCCACCUCACCCCACUGUCCAAGAAGACUGUUAAUGUUGAGGAUUGUCUCUAGAAGCCACAUCCAGAAAGUGUUUCUGCUCCUUUCGCUGUGGAAUGAAAGCUGUACAUCACAAACUGGGACAGUAAGGAAUAACCAGCCUACCUGGCAGCAAUGAGAAACAUCCCUGAUGGCUUCCUUUGGCCAAGAGCAGCUAAUCACAAGCUAAAAUUCCUAUAAUGCAGGAGAUAGGAAUGCACGGCACAAGGAGAGCUCAUGACCUGAGAAACAGGAUCUACACGUGCAAGUCUCUACACCUGCUCUUGAAAGAGAUAAGAGUUGGGUCAUGGCUUGGAGAAAUAAGAAAAGCAAAAAGGAGGAGGAACAUGAUUUCCUUUGCAGGUGACAGCUUUGGCCGGUGCAGUUCAGUGGCAGAGCUGUGGCUUUGGGAUUAGCACAGUGUUGUCCUGUGCCUGAAUUGCCCCUGGCCUGGGAGAACCUCUGUGAUGCCUUGAGCCUCCACUGGAAAGUGCUCAGAGACAUAGAUGGUAUGAAAAACAGCACAUUCAAGCCAGAAAGAGGACGGGAAAGAGGACUGCAGAAGGGACCAGAAUACUUAACAGUCAGCAAAGCGGACACAGUCAGGUCUGCACUACUUUGGUCCAGGAGUGGGGAGGUAGAUGGUUACUGUGAAGCUCCCCACUGUGUGUUGUUGUGUGUGUCUACGUUGCAGUGCAGGAUCCUGGCACUGAUGCUGUAAUGUAAACCUGUGUUUCUAUACGUGUGGUCUGGUUUUUUUUGCAGGAACAUGUAACUUGAUCUGGGAGGAAACGUUGCAGGUCUUUGGGGAAGCUGAGUUGUGUGGUAUUAGCCAAGCUCAUUCUGUAUUCCCUCUGCCUGUAUUAUUUCCCUAGCACCAAGCCAACUAACAGAAACUGUUAGUUUGUAUGCGUUUAAAUAAACAGUAACUGUAUCU